AUCUAAUGAAAUUAAUUAACAAAUUAAUCUUGCCGAAACAGCAAAUACUUCUGGGGGUAUACACGAUGCCUUGAUGACUCAGGACGGGGAACUAACCGUCGUUGAUCCUGCAACCCUUUCUGCAAGGGAGUUUGUCAUUUAUCAGUACGGCAUCUCCAUCCUCCAGUUUCUCAGACUUCACAUUGAUGCUCCAGAAAUUAACCUCUGCGUUGCCUCCAGAAUACCUCCUAGUAACGCCCCGGGCAACGCCUUCAGAAACUCUUUCUUUUAUCAGGAUUCAAAGAACAAUCUCUUCGUUCUAAGGGACUGCCUGAGUUCUGUAGGAAGUUUCCUUCUCCUCCUCGUGCACUGCUUAGCUCACAUCGCUGCUGCUGACUUCAGUCACGAUGCCAACCCACUUUUCCUGAGGCUUUUUUAUCAGGCACUAAAGGCUUGUCUUAGUGAAACAUUCUCUCUCAAACUCCAGCUCUCGGCAGUUUUACACAGUGAUAAAUCUCACGAGAUAAGUCAGAUAUUGCUAAAGGAAGAACCAUUCUCCAAGGAGGAAAUAAAUCUCAUCUCCCAACUUUUUGAGGUGAAAGUGAAAAGUCUCACAGACACGGAAGCCUUUGAGAAGGUAAUAAGAAAGGUCAUGAGACCUAGUCUGGUUGAAAGCUCACCAUCUCUAUUUCCCAGUG
rnacentral:lncRNA from 1 species